GUGCUCACUUUGGCAACACAUAUACUAAAAUUGAAAUGAUACAGAGAUUAGCGUGGCUCCUGUAGAAGGAUGACAUGCAAAUUCAUAAAGUAUUCCAUUAAAAA
ensembl:snRNA U6 U6 spliceosomal RNA